UGUCUCAGUGCAAGCCAAAUUAAGGUGAAACCGCGAAUGGCUCAUUAAAUCAGUUAUGGUUCCUUAGAUCGUACCACUUUACUUGGAUAACUGUGGUAAUUCUAGAGCUAAUACAUGCAAACAGAGUCCCGACCAGAAGUGGAAGGGACGCUUUUAUUAGAUCAAAAUCAAUCGGUCGGCUCGUCCGGUCCGUUUGCCUUGGUGACUCUGAAUAACUUUGGGCUGAUCGCACGGUCCUCGUACCGGCGACGCAUCUUUCAAAUGUCUGCCUUAUCAACUGUCGAUGGUAGGUUCUGCGCCUACCAUGGUUGUAACGGGUAACGGGGAAUCAGGGUUCGAUUCCGGAGAGGGAGCCUGAGAAACGGCUACCACAUCCAAGGAAGGCAGCAGGCGCGCAAAUUACCCACUCCCGGCACGGGGAGGUAGUGACGAAAAAUAACGAUACGGGACUCAUCCGAGGCCCCGUAAUCGGAAUGAGUACACUUUAAAUCCUUUAACGAGUAUCCAUUGGAGGGCAAGUCUGGUGCCAGCAGCCGCGGUAAUUCCAGCUCCAAUAGCGUAUAUUAAAGUUGUUGCGGUUAA
rnacentral:rRNA from 1 species